rfam:Clostridium sp. CAG:167 genomic scaffold, scf272
ACUAACGGUAGAGGCGCGGGCUUCAUCAGUAGGAAAUCUGACAUGUUCGGCAUGGACGAUGGUUUCUGAAAGGGCUGACCGCCGAAGAAGAAACUUGCCGCAACGAGUUUUUUCUGGGCAUAUAGUUAAUAGCUGUAUGACUGUCAUCUGUAAGAUGGAGUGCUACUCAGUAA